rnacentral:rRNA from 1 species
UACGAAGGGGGCUAGCGUUGCUCGGAAUCACUGGGCGUAAAGGGUGCGUAGGCGGGUCUUUAAGUCAGGGGUGAAAUCCUGGAGCUCAACUCCAGAACUGCCUUUGAUACUGAGGAUCUUGAGUUCGGGAGAGGUGAGUGGAACUGCGAGUGUAGAGGUGAAAUUCGUAGAUAUUCGCAAGAACACCAGUGGCGAAGGCGACUUACUGGACACAUAUUGACGCUGAGGUGCGAAAGCGUGGGGAGCAAACAGGGAU